rnacentral:rRNA from 2 species
UGGGGAAUAUUGGACAAUGGACCGAGAGUCUGAUCCAGCAAUUCUGUGUGCACGAUGAAGUUUUUCGGAAUGUAAAGUGCUUUCAGUUGGGAAGAAAGAAAUGACGGUACCAACAGAAGAAGUGACGGCUAAAUACGUGCCAGCAGCCGCGGUAAUACGUAUGUCACGAGCGUUAUCCGGAUUUAUUGGGCGUAAAGCGCGUCUAGGUGGUUAUGUAAGUCUGAUGUGAAAAUGCAGGGCUCAACUCUGUAUUGCGUUGGAAACUGUAUAACUAGAGUACUGGAGAGGUAAGCGGAACUACAAGUGUAGAGGUGAAAUUCGUAGAUAUUUGUAGGAAUGCCGAUGGGGAAGCCAGCUUACUGGACAGAUACUGACGCUAAAGCGCGAAAGCGUGGGUAGCAAACAGG